rnacentral:rRNA from 1 species
ACGCACGCUGGCGGCGUGCCUAAUACAUGCCAGUCGCACGAGAGCGACCGGUGCUUGCACUGGUCAAUCUAGUGGCGAACGGGUGAGUAACACGUGGGUAACCUGCUCAUCAGAGGGGGAUAACAUCCGGAAACGGAUGCUAAAACCGCAUAGGUCUUCGAGCCGCAUGGUUUGAAGAGGAAAAGAGGCGCAAGCUUCUGCUGAUGGAUGGACCCGCGGUGCAUUAGCUAGUUGGUGAGGUAACGGCUGACCAAGGCCGUGAUGCAUAGCCGACCUGAGAGGGUGAUCGGCCACAUUGGGACUGAGACACGGCCCAAACUCCUACGGGAGGCAGCAGUAGGGAAUCUUCCGCAAUGGACGCAAGUCUGACGGAGCAACGCCGCGUGAGUGAAGAAGGUUUUCGGAUCGUAAACUCUGUUGUUAGAGAAGAACAAGUGCUAGAGUAACUGUUAGCGCCUUGACGGUAUCUAACCAGAAAGCCACGGCUAACUACGUG